UUCCAUAGGAACAGAAGCUCCAUCAGAGCAAGGCUCUUCACUGUGCUGUUCAUUAGAUAGCUUUUAAGCAAAUGAAUUAGCAAAAGGAAUGGUUCUCUGUCAUGGUGCUAAGUAAACAACACAUUUGAGAAACAAAAUAUGCUGAAAUUCAAGAAUUCGGCUUGAAUGACUAUCUGUGUGACUGGCCAACGCUGAGCCACCUCCACACAGUGAGCCCCGCUGAUCACAUGGUGCCCUGCGGCCUCAGGACAGUGUCCUAGCCUCCUUCACAGGGAAAAAUGCAAGAAGGGUUGUUGCCUCUCAGCUCCCCUGACUGCAUUCCGGGUUUUUCUGACUCUGUAAAAAACAAUCAAAUAAAAAUGCUAUCUUCCUAAA